rnacentral:rRNA from 1 species
AUUGAACGCUGGCGGCAGGCCUAACACAUGCAAGUCGAAUGGUAACACUAAACGGCUUGCUGUUUCACUGACGAGUGGCGCACGGGUGCGUACUGUCUGGUUCACUGUCUCAUGGAGGGGGUUAACUACUUGCAACGUUAGCUAAUACCGCAUAACGUCUCAAGACCAAAGAUGGGGACCUUCCGGCUUCUUUCCAUCAUAUGUUUCUAGGUGGGAUUAGCUAGUAUCUGGGGUAACGCCUCACCUAUGCGCCGAUCCCUAGCUGGUCUGAGAGGAUGACCAGCCACACUGGAACUGAGACACGGUCGAGACUCCUACGGGAGGCAGCAGUGGGGAAUAUUGCACAAUGGGGGAAAGCCUGAUGCAGCCAUGCGGCGGGUAUGAAGAAGGACUUCGGGUGGGAAAGUAAUGUCAGCGGGGAGGAAGGGAGUAAAGUUAAUACCUGUGGUCAUUGACGGUACCCGAAGAAGAAGCACCGGCUAACUCCGUG